AAGUAGGACAGCAUAUCAACAGAAUAAUCGCUAACUGCUGCUUACUGUAGCUGCCUUAAGCUAGUUAGCUCAGGAACAGGGCCUCUGUUGGUGUUUGCACCAGUAGCUCCAACGCUCUACGCUUAUUUCAUAUUGCACCUUUUAAAAGUAAAAUUAUAAAAGUAUGCAAAUUUAAGAUGAUUUACUGUUCUAGAGGACCAAAGACACUCACAGAAAAACUCACACUGAAGAGGCUGAAUUAGGACAAUUAACUUUAAUGCCCAGAAAAAUGAUCUUGCAUUCAUUUUUAUUUUUCUUAAACAGAUAAAUCGCUCUUAUGAGCCACUGAAUUGAUUCCUAUGAGGAAAUAAAACCCUUAUACAGAGACAUUAUUGUUGUCCUUCACAUAUGAUAAAAUGCGACUUUAUGACCCAUGUUUUUUAAAUGACAAAUCUCACAAGGGAAGGCUGAGGUACACUAUUAACUGGGGAAGAAUAACAUCCUCGAGGAAGAAAAGGGGAAAGAAUGACAAGAUUACAACAACCUCUCCUUAGUCACUUUCACACAGUCCGUUUGGGAGCAUGCAGCUCCCUCCCUGUCCAGCAGCAGUCCCCAGUGUGUUGCCACCUUUCCACACCGACUGACCUCCACACCUGCUGCACAUUCCCUUAUCAACUUCCUUCAUUCUUCCUCCUCCUGCCUGUGUCAGCGACCCCGUACCUGCCUGUUGCCAAACUGUUUUCGAAAAAAGAAAGACCUGCCAACUUUUAAGUCCCGGAUAACAACACUGACUGAUGCCCUCCACCUGGAGAAAUCCGACAUAUCCUUAAUGACAGAUGGGAGGAAUUCAGAGGGAUCUGGACACUGAUGAUUUCCUCCAUGGAAGGGACAGACAACGUGCACAUUAGCUGCUCAGGAGCUGGGAUGACCUCUGACCUCCCUGUGGAAGAGGGCCAGGCAGACCGAUUACCUCCAGCGGGGAUCAAUAAAGCAUCACAUUAUCUGCGCCUGGCAUGCCUCACCUGCCCACUAAGCUGCAGCCACUGAUCACCUGAUCAUCACCUGUCUGCACAGUGAGGCUCAUCCCGUCAUUAGUCCCCGGCUGUGUAUGGAACAGGAAGGUUACCUGCUGUUGUUGGACAGGCAUCGCUGCAGUUUCCUGUCUAGUUUCCUGUCCUGCCUUCUGUCUCCGAUAGUUCGCUGUCUCAUCAUGAGGAUUUCACAUUACACUCCCAUCAAUCAAUACCAAUACCAUUGUCAUAUCAUUUAUUUAUAGUGCACAGAAAAGUUGACUUUUACAUAAAGGUCGAAUGGAAAACCGUCAUUCCUAGUUUAAACCUGUUUUGUUCAGUUAAACAGAAAUAACACGCUUCAUAAAACAAACUCAAAACAAUAAACUGCUGUUUUCGCUUCAAAUCACAGGGCUUCACGUCACCUCACCACAUGACGUCACACCGGCGACACGUCUGUCGCACAGCUGCACUUCCAUCGUAAACCAACGUAAACAAGAUACGACUUCGACUUCGCCGCCGUAUUGGAUGCAGCAGCUCUGCCCCCAGUCAGUGGACCCAACUUUACAAAGCUCCUUCUACAAAGUGCUGCAGGUGAUGCUCAGGAGGGAAAUGGCGCUCUCUGCACAUCAACUCUUCAGUCUGGUUUAGCCCUACGCAAUCUGGAAACUGGCAUCACACAACGUUUGUUGGCACUUAUCAAAUAAAGGUCGAUCGAUGUGUAUUAUGGGCAAGUUGCAUGGAUCCCAAUGCAACAACUUUUUAAAGUUUGCCCCGUCCUCGCACUUCAGUAAAACUUCA